ACGGGAGGCAGCAGUGGGGAAUUUUGCGCAAUGGGGGAAACCCUGACGCAGCAACGCCGCGUGCGGGAUGACGGCCUUCGGGUUGUAAACCGCUUUCAGCAGGGAAGACUUUGACGGUACCUGCAGAAGAAGCUCCGGCUAACUACGUGCCAGCAGCCGCGGUAAUACGUAGGGAGCGAGCGUUAUCCGGAUUCAUUGGGCGUAAAGCGCGCGUAGGCGGCCUGCUAAGCGGAACUUCUAAUCUUGGGGCUCAACCUCAAGCCGGGUUCCGAACUGGCAGGCUCGAGUGCGGUAGGGGCAGGCGGAAUUCCAAGUGUAGCGGUGAAAUGCGCAGAUAUUUGGAAGAACACCGAUGGCGAAGGCAGCCUGCUGGGCCGUCACUGACGCUGAGGCGCGAAAGCUGGGGGAGCGAACAGGAUUAGAUACCCUGGUA
rnacentral:rRNA from 2 species